rnacentral:rRNA from 1 species
CCAUGCAUGCCUUCGAAUAGAAGAGCUUCUCUUUGAAUCUGCGAACGGCUCCGCAAACCAGUUGUAAACUAUAGCAAGCAUGCCCCGAUUCGGGUCGCAAGGCUCGGGUUGGGGUAAUAAGGAUAACCCUGGUAAUUCUGAGGCUAAUACGAGAACGUAACCCCUGGUCGACUGGGCAACUGGAAGGUCGGGGAACGUGCAAUUUGGCGCAAAGAUUGCUGGGAAUAGGUGCACGUUCAGACCACCAUACCAAACGGUUCCCGGAGGCUUCGGCCGAAGGGUUCUGGGUGGCUCUUGCUGUGUGCUUCUGACCUAUCAACUAGAUGGCAGCGUAACGGACAUGCUAUGGUUACAACGGGUACAGAGGAUAAGGGUUCGAUCCUGGAGAGUGGGCCUGAGAGAUUGCUCACACUUCUAAGGAAGGCAGCAGGCGCGCAACGUUCCCCUUGGGCAAUGCUCGAGGGCGUUAGGGGACAUAUGAAUGCCUGCCAUACGGUAGGCAAUUCAAAUGGGUUUGUUGUAAACAGCCUU